rnacentral:lncRNA from 1 species
AAAAAUACUGAAUGAACUUUCCUCUGAUGUGCCUGGUAUUCCCAAGAUUGAAGAAGAAAAAUCAGAGGAAGAAGGGACACCACCUAACAUUGCUACCAUGGCAGUACCAACUAGCAUAUAUCAGACUAGCACGGGGCAAUACAGUAUGUAUGCUACAAUUCCAUAGACACAGUGCUAGCUUUAAGUCUUCCUAUUACAGUGAAGCGGUGUGGGUGUGGGCAUCCAAAUGUUUCAUUAACAACUGUGAAUCAUUAACAACUGUGUGUCACAGAAUAAAAAGUGCAUGUUAAAGCAGUAAGAUAUUUGUACUGACAGCUGAAAAGUCUUUAUUGCUGAGUGUGCAUGAUAAGUGGUUAAAAAUUAAAGAAAGGGUUCCUAUUUACAUGUUUAUAUUCCUCUCAAGUAACAAUUUGAAAAGUUCUUGUUUUUGUUGUCUUUCUGCUAUAAAUGUCUGUAUUUCAUUGUCGAUGGCAUUUGUUGCCAGCGACUUAUUAUACUUAAUCAUAUAAUAAGAGGUAAAUAUGUUUUCUAAGUUGUGCUUUAAAUGUAAUUUCAUUUCAUUACUUUGUUAAUUUGUGCUGCAGUUUUUCUAAAAGAACAAAAAAUUAUUUAACUUUCAAACUGUAGCAAUUGGAUAGAUCAUUUUAUUUGAACUUUACACACUGGAAGCUCUAAUAAACAGAUACAUUGGCAUUUAGACUUGUGCAUUUUAAUGUAUUGUUACUUCUGUGCUUUUUGAAAUUCUUACUAAAGCACUAAUGAUUUUCCCAAGUCAAGCACAUUUGACAGACAAGAAUAAUGCGACCUAGAAAGCAAAGUAGAAAGGAAGAAAGGAAACCAGAGGAAACAACUUCUUGGGUCUUUGGGGAUGUAUGUAAUGUUAUAUACUGUGUCUAAAUAAAGUGCAAAGACUAU